AGAAACAUGUCUUGUACAACCAAUACUUAGAAAUUGAUUGCUUAAAGAUCUCUACUAUCAAUAAAUUCCACAAAACCAAAUGCAUUCAAACAUAUAUGACAAUAGUACAAAAACUCUUCGUCGUUCACUACAAUAGAUCGAGUUUACUUCUGGCCACAAUUCAAAUUCAAUUACCGGCAUUUUCCUGCACAUUUAAAAUAAAAUUAUAAGUUAGUGAAAUAAAUCAUGUAUUUAAUAUGCUUAAAUUCACAGUAAGCCAAACCAAUUCAUAACAAUAAAGUUGUGGAAGUGCAUAUAAGGUUGACAGAUAACUAUAGACAACACUGCUUGGAAUUCUAUUGAUGAAGUAAAAAGAUGCUAAAACACACUGAUACUAGAACUUUACAUCAUAUACUGAUUUAUAGCAACUGUUUAGCAUAGUCAUUAGUACUCUUGGAUCCAUUCUGAUGACUCCUAGUAGAUAGUGGUACAUUAGUGUUCAAGCCAUAUGUGAAGGUUCCUUUAGCUUGUAUUUCAGUACCUACAUACGUUUGCACAUCUAUCAUAUCAUAGGCAGCCCAGAUGCCUCACUAUAAGUUUUUUUCUUAGACUUGAAGUCAGGUGGAUAGCUUAUUAGUUUGAAACAUUGUCCUUCCUAUGUCCUGUGAAUCUGCAGAACUCACACACCAACUCUUUCCAGAAUUUCCAACUCUUUCGAAGUUAUAGAAAAGCUCAACUCUUUUCAAAAUUUCCAGCACUGUAUUAUAGCGC
rnacentral:lncRNA from 1 species